rnacentral:rRNA from 1 species
AGAGUUUGAUCCUGGCUCAGAUUGAACGCUGGCGGAAUGCUUUACACAUGCAAGUCGAACGAUGAACCUUAGCUUGCUAAGGGGAUUAGUGGCGAACGGGUGAGUAAUAUAUCGGAACGUGCCUUGUAAUGGGGGAUAACUAGUCGAAAGAUUAGCUAAUACCGCAUACGCCCUGAGGGGGAAAGUAGGGGAUCUUCGGACCUUACGUUAUAAGAGCGGCCGAUAUCUGAUUAGCUAGUUGGUGGGGUAAUGGCCUACCAAGGCGACGAUCAGUAGCUGGUCUGGGAGGACGACCAGCCACACUGGAACUGAGACACGGUCCAGACUCCUACGGGAGGCAGCAGUGGGGAAUUUUGGACAAUGGGCGCAAGCCUGAUCCAGCCAUUCCGCGUGAGUGAAGAAGGCCUUCGGGUUGUAAAGCUCUUUCGCAAGGGAAGAAAACUUACAUUCUAAUAAAGUGUGAGGCUGACGGUACCUUGAUAAGAAGCACCGGCUAACUACGUGCCAGCAGCCGCGGUAAUACGUAGGGUGCGAGCGUUAAUCGGAAUUACUGGGCGUAAAGCGUGCGCAGGCGGUUUGGCAAGUCAGAUGUGAAAUCCCCGAGCUCAACUUGGGAACUGCGUUUGAAACUGCCAGACUAGAAUAUGUCAGAGGGGGGUAGAAUUCCACGUGUAGCAGUGAAAAGCGUAGAGAUGUGGAGGAAUACCAAUGGCGAAAGGCAGCCCCCUGGGAUAAUAUUGACGCUCAUGCACGAAAGCGUGGGGAGCAAACAGGAUUAGAUACCCUGGUAGUCCACGCCCUAAACGAUGUCUACUAGUUGUUGGUGGAGUAAAAUCCAUGAGUAACGCAGCUAACGCGUGAGUAGACCGGCCUGGGGAGUACGGUCGCAAGAUUAAACUCAAAGGAAUUGACGG